rnacentral:rRNA from 1 species
UUGCCCUACGGGAGGCAGCAGUGGGGAAUAUUGCACAAUGGGGGAAACCCUGAUGCAGCAACGCCGCGUGGGCGAAGAAGUAUUUCGGUAUGUAAGGCCCUAUCAGCAGGGAAGAAGAAAUGACGGUACCUGAGUAAGAAGCACCGGCUAAAUACGUGCCAGCAGCCGCGGUAAUACGUAUGGUGCAAGCGUUAUCCGGAUUUACUGGGUGUAAAGGGAGCGCAGGCGGCACGGCAAGCCUGAUGUGAAAGCCCGCGGCCCAACCGCGGGACUGCAUUGGGAACUACCGCGCUGGAGUGCCGGGG